UGCCACCACACCCAGCUAAUUUUUGUAAUUUUAGUAGAGACAGGGUUUCACCAUGUUGGCCAGGAUGGUCUCCAUCUUUUGACCUUGUGAUCUGCCCGACUCGACCUCCCAAAGUGCUGGGAUUACAGGCGUGAGCCACCAUGCCCGGCCAUGCCUGUGAUUUUUAAAUUCUUAAACAUGUAUUAUUUAUAACUUAAGACAUAAAGACACUAUAGUCACAUAGGAGAAAACAAUUAUAAUCCAAAUGAGAAACAAAAGAUCUAAAUUAAGGAGGUGUGAAGAUAAUGUAGAGGUUGUAUACUAUGACCAUUUUAGAAAGAGGAUUGUAGGUUUUAUUGACUAAGAAGAUAAAGGGAUGCAAAUUAGUUAUACAGGUUUUAAUUCCAGACAACAGAAUAGUGGCUAUUAACAAUAAAAUCAGUAAGUAUUCUGGACAUGUUUAACUUGAAUAUUCAGGUAGGGGAUUUUAUUGGAAAUACGGAUCUAGAGCUAGUGGAAGAAGUUAUAUUUAGGAGUCAUCCACAAAGAGGCUUGAGAAACAAAUGAAAAUGUAUUGAGAAGUGCAUAGAGAACAAUGUUAAGGGGGCUGUGGGGAAAAAACAACAUUUGGAAGAUAACUGAAGGAAAUCAUAGAGGAAAAAUAGUACAAUCUAAUUUUUCUCCCUAACUGAAAGCAAAACCACUUUUAAUACUAAGAAUUUAUUAUGAUCUCUCCAUGAUACUACCGUUUUUUCAAUCCCAACAAUCAUCAUCACAUCCCAGAGCCAUCUCAUGACAAGAGCUUUCUAAAUACUAAUUGCCUGAACACUGAAGAAAAUUAAUAUCUGAUACUAAGGUGUAACUUAUUUCUCUGUAAUUAAAAAAAAGGGGGCCAGGCACGGUAGCUCAUGCCUGUAAUCCCAGCACUUUGGGAGGCCGAGGUGGGUGGAUCACCAUCAGGAGUUAAAGACCAGCCUGGUCAAGAUGGUGAAGCCCCAUCUCUACUAAAAAUACAAAAAAAUAGCCGGGCGUGGUGGCGGGCGCCUGUAAUCCCAGCUACUCGGGAGGGUGGGGCAGAGAACUGCUUGAACCUGGGAGGUGGAGGUUGCAGUGAGCUGAGAGCGUACCACUGCAUUCCAGCCUGGGCAACAGAGUGAGACUCCGUCUCAAAAAAAAAAAAAAAAAAAAAAAGGCUUUCUGUUCUUGAAAUAUUCAAACUAGACAGGACAAUUUUAACUGAAGCUGUUCUCACAACCCUGUUUUUCAGCUAUUAUAAGUUUGUUAAUGGACAAACAUGUUCAUAACUGAAAUUUUAAAAUUACAUAAAAGUAUAAUUCUAUAACCUGCAGAACUAACAUUUGAUGCAUUUUUCCUAGUCCUUUCAAUGCUUAGUUUUUAUUACAUGUAUGUAAUAUCACUUAUUGAAGGCUUACUAAAUACUGAACCCUGUAUUAAAACACUUUCCUGUCUUGUCCUUCCAAACAUCCUGACACUCAAAAGUUAAGUGAUCUGCACAGGGUCAUAGCUAGAAUUUAAAAGCUGCUACUUACAUCUCAGAUAUGACUCCAAAGCCCAAUCUUCACUACAAAACUGCAAUACCUGCUUUCCCUCUCCCCCACUUAGCAUAGUUUCAGCAUUUCCCAGAACAUUAACAGUAAUAAUUUAUUGGCAACUUGACCUCUUAUUGUAUACAUACAGCAUGAUUUAUUUUCCUAUUCACCUAGUACUAGCCAAAUGUGUAUGUAUAUUGCUAUUAUAAACAACCCUGUGAUUAACAUCUUUCUAUCAAGAUCUGCCUCUACUUUGAACAGUUUCCUUAUUGCCAAUAGUUAUUUUAAAAUAAAUAGUUAUUUUAAAGGGAAAUUGACACAUACAUAUAACACACUCACGCAAAACUGGCAAGUAGCAGAUAAGUGCUCUUCUAAUUUCAGUUUCCUAGCUUUCAUGUAGAAUGAACAAUUAUAGUAAUAAAGGCUGAAGGAAAACAAAGAUAUUAUUGAGAUACAACAGGGACAGUCUAAAACAGCAUCAGAAAGCAAGUUCAUGCUGUUCAACAUUAGCAGGCAAGGGAAAUAGGGAAAGAAAUACGCAAACGUGGCUAUCACAGAAAAGCCAGCUUAUUACUUUAGGUUCUGUGGGAGACUACAGGUCACAUAAAAGCAGUCUCAACAAUAAUGUGACCACAUGUGCAAUCAACAUUUACAAAAUGAAAUUAUAUAUCAUGUAUAACACAAAUGUUUUGCCUAUACUUUAAUUUACAAAGCCACAUACCGAAUGACUGAAAUGUACAUAAACAUUCUUUUAUGAUAGACCAGAACAUCUAUAUUAUCAUGACUUAGAAAAAGAAAACAGAUGCAAAAUAGUGUUGAGAAUUUCUGGCCUGAAAUUACAAGACUAAGUGUGUGUGUGCAUGCGUGUGUACAUAUAUUUAAAUCGUUUUAUUCUCAUUUGAUCCUUUUGGCUGAACUUUAUUCAUAUAUUAUCUGCCCUUCUUCUUAUAAUCUCUCUCAUGAAAGAUAUCAUUAUCCAGUCAUUGAAGCCAAACCCCCUUCACCAGCCCCCAAUCUCUAGACAUCAAGGGUUAACAAGACAUCUUCCUAAAUUUCUCCGGAAUUAAGCUCUUCUCUGUUAGAAUUUCCUUUCCAAGUCCAUUUCUUCAUAAAUCUGGCAUGUGAAAUUUGAAUUGCUCUGCCGCAGUUUUCUCUUCUUUAGUCAGUGGUGACAGCUAGAAAAUAAAUGAUAAAAUCUUUAUUUCAAAAACUUUCAAAGACUUAAAUCAGUUUAGUUAACUUCUGCAUUGUCACACCAAUAAAUGUUUCCCUAAGCUUAUACUAUGUAUGUAAUCACAGAUUUAGAAAGGCAAGGGAAAAAACAGAUACUUGGCUAUUUAUAUACAAGGUCCUAUGAUGUUUGAGCUUCUAAAGAACUUGCAAUUAAGUUGAAGAAACAAGACCAAGAAAUCAAACAAUUUAAGGAUUAUAGCAGAACCAAAGAAGUCAUGUUUGGAUGCCAUAUUCUAAAAGUACAGUCAACCCUCAGUAUCUGUGGGAGAUUGAUUCCAGGAUAACAAAAUCCACAGAUGCUCAAGUCCCUUAUAUAAAACUGCGUAGUAUUUGCAUAGAAACUAUACAUAUCCUCCUGUAUACUUUAAAUCAUCUCUAGAUUACUUAUAUACCUAAUACAAUGUAAAUGCUAUGUACAUAAUUGUUACACUGUAUUGUGGAAGGAAUAAAUGAUAAGGAAAAAAGUCUACAGAUGUUCAGUACAGAUACAACCAUCUAAUUUUUUUCCAAAAUUUUUGUUUUCUAUUUUUGAAACGGGGUCACUCUGUCGCCCAGGCUGGAGUGCAGUGGCACAAUC
rnacentral:lncRNA from 10 species